rfam:Candidatus Micrarchaeota archaeon CG1_02_55_41 cg1_0.2_scaffold_17156_c, whole genome shotgun sequence.
CUACACUUCAAUUAAGCCGUACAGUGGAUGGUUGGGCUGCAACAGCGACGAAGGGCGUGGCAAGCUGCGAUAAGCCCGGGGUAGGAGCAUGCAUCCUUUGAGCCCGGGAUUCCCGAAUUACCUCGAGAGAGGGGCGUCACCCGCCGAAUUGAAAUAUCUUAGUAAGCGGAGGAAGAGAUACCAACCGGUAUACCGCGAGUAGUGCGAACGAAAGCGGCUCAGGGCAAACCGAAUCCUUCGGGCGACCGGAGUAGAGAUGUGGUGUUCGGGCCGGAUUUUACUCUCGUGAACUUAGCCGAAGUCCCCUGGAAAGGGGCGUCAUAGACCGUGAUAGCCGGGUAGGCGAAGAGUGAGCGAGUGGUUCCGGUACCCAGAGUAGUGCUCCCCGGUUUGGGAGUACGAACGCGCCAGACAUUAACUGGCAACCCUAAACAUACUUGCAGACCGAUAGCGCAUAGUACUGUAAAGGAAAACUGAAAAGCACCGCGAAAGCGGGGUUAAAAGUGCCUGAAACUGUUAACGGCGACAACAAGACGCGGCGUGAAAGGAAUGAUAUGACCGGCGUUGCGUCAUCGCUCUCGAAGCAGCAGCCAAGGAGUUCAAGGCAGUGGCGAGCAUUGGGCGAAGCGAAAGCGAAUAUCCGCAACCACUUCGAGUGGCCAGGGAUGCGGUCUUAAUCGGCCGCUAGUCACUGUUUUGAGACCCGAAUCCGAAGCGAGCUAAGCACGGGCAGGGCGAAGCCGACCUUCCGGUUGGUGGAGGCCCGCAACUAGUGAUGGUCUAUCCUCUUAGGUGACCUGUGUUUAGGGGUGAAAUUCCAUACGAGCUCGGUAAUAGCGGGUUCCCGUUGAAGUGAACCGCAGUUCAGCCUCGGCAGAGCUGGAGGACGGGUAGAGCUACGGAUUUGAAGGAAUGGGGGAGUGAUUCCUCGCCUUCUUGUCAAACUCCGAACCGUGCCUCGGCGCAGAAGCCGGGAGUUGGGGGUGCGAGUUAAGCGCGUACUCCGAGGGGGGAAUGACCCCAACUGCAAUUAAGGUCCCAAAGAAACGGCUAAGUGUUAACCAGCAAGAUGUCUUAUUUCUUAGACAGCGGGGAGGUAGGAACAGAAGCUGCCAUCCUUUAAACAACGCGUAACAGCGGACCCGUCAAGAUUUGAGGCGUCGUAAACUCUCGGGACUAAAGCCGUUCACCGACAUUGUGGAUUCGCAGCCGUCGGCUGCGAAUAGUAAACGGGCGUGCGGGCCGGGCCGAAGCAAGGCCGUAAGGUCUUGUAGACCGGUUUGCAACGAAGAUCUUGGUAUUAGUAGCAUCAAUUCCAGGCGAGAAUCCUGGACGCCGAAAGGGCUAGGUUUUCUUGGCAACGCUAGUCGACCAAGAGUAAGUCGGUCCUAACUCUAAACGUAAUCGUGAAGGGGAAAGGGAAACGCGUUAACAAUCGUGUACCUAUCUGGCGCACGCGGCAACGCUAGCCACUCUUCUAACGCUUGCGGACAAGCCCGGCCGUCAUGUGGCGGCUUAACCUGACCAGGCCAACGAAGUCUCAUUACGAGGAGCAGUUGGUUAAGCAGGGAAUCGGGUUGAUUCCGUGAGCCCAUGAAAAGGAAGAUGGAAGUAUUCAGAUAGACCGUACCGAGAACCAGUACAGGUGACCCUGGCGGAAAAAGCUAAGGCGUGGCAGGAGAAUCAAGGUAAGGGAAUUCGGCAAAUUAGCCCUGUACCUUUGGUAUAAGGGGUGCCUACAUUAUUGUCUGAGAUUCGUCAAGGAUGGUUUUGUAGGUCGCAGUGACUAGGGGAUUCCGACUGUUUAUCUAAAACACAGGUCGUCGCAAAGUGGAAACGCUGUGUACGGCGGCUGACGCGUGCUCACUGGCAGUAUCUCAAAGCGGGUUCCAACCCGCCAAAGGACUGCUAAAGAGCGGGAGUAACUCUGACUCUCUUAAGGUAGCGUAAUACCUCGCCGCUUAAUUGGCGGCUUGCAUGAAUCGCGUAACGUGAUUCCCACUGUCCCUAUCUUGAACCUGGUGAACUUACUUCUCGGUGAACAUGCCGAGGACUCCCAGCGGGAAACGAAGACCCCGUGGAGCUUAACCACAACUUGUUGUUGAAUCGUGGUCGGCGAAUCAAAGCGUAAGCAGGAGCCGUUACGCGCCCCGUUCCGGCGAGGGCGAUAGGCGAAAGUGUGACACUGCUAUUCGCUAACUACGAUUCUAACCCCCCGAAAGGGGGGGACAUCUGCAGGCGGGUGGUUUGACUGGGGCGGUACGCCUUCGAUAAGAAAACAAAGGCGCCCAAAGGUCGACUCAAGCGCGUCAGAAAUGCGCUGUAGAGGGUCAAAGACAAAUGUCGGCCUGACUGAGACCUUAAAAAAAUGGGUCGCAGGCACGAAAGUGGGGCUUAACGAACAAACAUGCUCCCCAUUAAUGGGGGCUGUUUCUGACAGACAAGCUACCCCGGGGGUAACAGGCUUGUCGCGGUCGAGAGUUCAUAUCGACACCGCGGUUUGGUACAUCGCUAUCGGCUUAGGUCAUCCUGGCGGUGCAGGAGCCGCCAAGGGUUGGGUUGUUCAUCCAUUAAAGACCUACAUUAGUUGGGUUCAGAACGUCGCGAGACAGUUCGGUGGCAUCUGCUGGGAGUGCUUAGUCAACUGAGGGGAAGGAACUCCAAGUACGAGAGGAACGGGGUUUCGGCGCCACUAGUAAGCCUGCUCUCCACAGGGAAGCAGGGUAGCCACGCGCCACUCGGAUAAGUCCUGAAGGCAUCUAAGGACGAAGCCGGACCCAAAACGAGUUGACUCCGGUCACCCGCUAGCAGACGGGUUUGAUAGGCUGGAAGUGUAAGCGCGAAGCCGCAAGGCGACGCGUUCAGCUAACCAGUACUAACGACCGAUUCGUAGCACCA